UACAGAGGGUGCGAGCGUUGUCCGGAAUCACUGGGCGUAAAGGGCGCGUAGGUGGCCUGAUAAGUAGGGGGUGAAAUCUCGAGGCUCAACUUCGAGGCUGCCUCCUAAACUGUCAGGCUUGAGCAGAGUAGAGGCAGGUGGAAUUCCCGGUGUAGCGGUGGAAUGCGUAGAGAUCGGGAAGAACAUCGGUGGCGAAGGCGGCCUGCUGGGCAGUGGCUGACACUGAGGCGCGACAGCGUGGGGAGCAAACAGG
rnacentral:rRNA from 1 species